UCGAGCGGACCGACGGGAGCUUGCUCCCUUAGGUCAGCGGCGGACGGGUGAGUAACACGUGGGUAACCUGCCUGUAAGACUGGGAUAACUCCGGGAAACCGGGGCUAAUACCGGAUGCUUGAUUGAACCGCAUGGUUCAAUCAUAAAAGGUGGCUUUUAGCUACCACUUGCAGAUGGACCCGCGGCGCAUUAGCUAGUUGGGGAGGUAACGGCUCACCAAGGCGACGAUGCGGAGCCGACCUGAGAGGGUGAUCGGCCACACUGGGACUGAGACACGGCCCAGACUCCUACGGGAGGCAGGAGUAGGGAAUCUUCCGCAAUGGACGAAAGUCUGACGGAGCAACGCCGCGUGAGUGAUGAAGGUUUUCGGAUCGUAAAACUCUGUUGUUAGGGAAGAACAAGUACCGUUCGAAUAGGGCGGGACCUUGACGGUACCUAACCAGAAAGCCACGGCUAACUACGUGCCAGCAGCCGCGGGAAUACGUAGGUGGCAAGCGUUGUCCGGAAUUAUUGGGCGUAAAGCGCGCGCAGGCAGGUUCUUAAGUCUGAUGUGAAAGCCCCGGCUCAACC
rnacentral:rRNA from 1 species